AUCUAUGGCCAUACCACCCCGAACACAUCGAAUCUGGUCUGAUCUCAGAAGCUAAGCAGGGUCAGGUCUGGUUAGUAUUUGAAUGGGAGAAAAGUUACCAUCUUGACUU
rnacentral:rRNA from 1 species